CUUUAAUGAGGUUUUAAUGAGGGAGAUCUCAUGGUCCUUCCAAGCUUGACUUGUUCCACAUGGUCAAGCUUGAGGGGGAGGGGAGUAGCACAGCUUCUUCGUUGUUCCAAUCAAACCAGGAUGAAUCUCUUUGUAAGACGCUUGAUUUUGUUGAAGUGAUGGUUAGAUAGAUCAGCUUCCCCACAAGCUUCCUGUAUAGCUUUG
rnacentral:lncRNA from 1 species